rnacentral:misc_RNA from 1 species
UUUUUAUUUUAUUUUAUUUUAUUGUAUUAAUCAUGUUUACAUGUACUGUUAUUUAUUAUGUUUGUGAUAAUUAUUUCUUAUGAAACAGAUUUUUCUUUCUUUCUUUAAUUUUUUUUUUUAAAUCUGAUGGAUGCAUCUUAUGAUGUUCUUCUAUUUUGAUCAGGAAGAAGACUGUACAUGUGAUAGAAUUUUGAGUAAAAGAGAAUUCCCAGAGAAUCUAAUGAUUGCCAGCAUUGAAAGGGCUGGUUUUGAACACUGCCUAAUCUUGAGAUGGCAUGAUUUCAAAUUUGCCAAGGCGAUUGAUGGCUAGGAAAAAUUUGCACUGACAAGGCAGUAACUCUCAGUACAAUGCUUCUGAUAUAUUGCCCCCUUGUGAUCUUUGGUAUAUGAGCAGAGAUGGAUAUCAUCGUGCAAUCUGCUGAGUAUAAAUGCUGGGUAAUUGUCUUUGUCCAUACUUGAUGUGGAAUCAGAUGGCUCUGUUUGGUCAGUUCAAAAUUAAGGGAUUUUGUGGAGAUAGAAUGGGUGUAAAAAUUGAAAGGCUUUGCAUGAAGCAUUCCUUAUAUGCAGGGAUUGUCUCCAACUGAACUCUUAUAUGCCCAAUGUGAUUAAAUCAAAGAUAAAGAAUUGCUCCCUUGGUGGACAGGAAAGCCUGGCUAUCCUCUCUGCGCCAGUAAAUUGAAAACAAUUAGCUUGAUAAUGAAAAGUAGUAUUACUAUUUGAUUUAAAUGUUUAGCUUUAGACUUUGUUUCUUCCCAGUUCCCAUAGCUUCUAUCCUUGUCUAAUGGAUCACUGGGAAUUAUUGCUUCUGCUGCUGCUUUUAACAGCUUUAUCAUCCUUCAGAGGACCUUUAAAGUUCAAAUCAUUGGUGCAAAGACUUGCAUAAUUUCUC